rnacentral:lncRNA from 1 species
CAUGGUUGGACUUGAGCUAAAGUAAAAUCUCUUUGGUGGCUUGAUAGAGGAUGGAUCUGAGUGAGGAGAGACUUGAGGCAGGCAGACUGACCAGAAGGUUAUCACUGUAGUUUAAAAGUGAGGGAAUAAGAACCUGAACCAGAGUGUCUAGAGUAUCAGAGGAAAAAAUGGACAUAUUUAGAAAUUUUUUCAAAGUUUUAAUCAGAAAACCUUGACCACAGGUUGGUUCUGGGAGGAGAGACGUAGUGAGAAGAAGAGACAGAGAUAGUGAAGAGUUGAGAAUGACUCCUAUACAGUGAAUCUGAAGGGUCAGCAGGGUGUGGAGAUUGGAUUUGGCUCUCCCCUGAUUGUGAAGAUUAAAUUGAAACCCCCAACUAUUUUUAGAUUUCAUCCCCAUAAGUGCAUGUGAAUUUUAGAUUUACUCCACCCUGAUUAUUCUUUAGAAUUUUAGCAACCAGGAAUAUAUACACUCCCACAUAAGGAUUAACUGUAGGGAAGAAUGGUCUAUGACCUGCAUAUGCUAGCAAGAGACAAAUCAGAAACAACUGACUGACCCCCUUGGCUGUCCUAAACCAAGGUUAAGCUACCAUUGGGACAUGUGAGACACAGGAAGUGAUGUAAAGAAUUGCCUUUAUAUUUCUCAUCAUUUCCUGUGGGAGGGGCUUUUGUGGUGUUUGGCAGUGGUACUUGACUUGGAGGAGCUCUGGAGUGUGGGGACUUCAGACUGCUUCCCUUAGACUACAACAUGAACAGUGAUAUUCCAUUCAUACACCAUUUUUGUUCAUCCAUCUCCCAACUGAUGGAGGCCCAUGUCUUUAGUGCGAAAAAAAGUGAAAAGAAUGGUCAAAGAGGGCAGAUUGCAUGCUAUAGUGGAAAAAACAUGCGGCUUGUCAUCAGAAGAACUUGGUUUUAAUUCAGGGCAGCUAUGGAUAAAUCAACAAACCCUGUCUAAACUCCAGAAAGAAGAAAUAAUAGAUAUAUAAUAUUUCACAUAACUUUUUUCUCAAUUGAUCUUCACAAACGAUACAAACAAUUCUAAAAAGCACAGUAACUCUUAGCUUCCCAUAUAUAUCUUUAUUUAAGAAAGAUUUGCAAAAGAAAACAUAUAAUUAGGGGAAAUUUACUUGACUUGAAAUCAAAAGACAUACUCUUUUGAUUAUUCUUUUUAUGUACCUGGGCAAGCCAAAGUCUGAGCUUCCUCAUCUUUAAAACUUGUGUUAUUAACCUAACAGGUGUGGAGUCAGAAUAAAAUUAAACAAUGUGUAGAGGUCUUUGUAAUC